GCCAAAAAGUUAGUUCGGUUUUUUCCAUAUAAUGUUAUGGAAAAACCCGAACCAACAUUUUGGC
rnacentral:miRNA from 1 species